rnacentral:rRNA from 1 species
GAUGAACGCUGGCGGCGUGCCUAAUACAUGCAAGUCGAGCGGUAAGGCCACUUCGGUGGUACACGAGCGGCGGACGGCUGAGUAACACGUAGGAACGUACCCCAAACUGAGGGAUAAGCACCAGAAAUGGUGUCUAAUACCGCAUGUGCUCUUCGGAGUAAAGCUACGGCGGUUUGGGAACGGCCUGCGCAUGAUUAGCUUGUUGGUGAGGUAAUGGCUCACCAAGGCGACGAUCAUUAGCUGGUCUGAGAGGAUGAUCAGCCAGACUGGGACUGAGACACGGCCCAGACUCCUACGGGAGGCAGCAGUAGGGAAUUUUCCACAAUGGGGGCAACCCUGAUGGAGCAACGCCGCGUGCAGGAUGAAUGCCUUCGGGUUGUAAACUGCUUUUAUAUGUGACGAUUGUGACGGUAGCAUAUGAAUAAGGAUCGGCUAAUUCCGUGCCAGCAGCCGCAGUAACAC